rnacentral:rRNA from 1 species
AGUGAACGCUGGCGGUAGGCCUAACACAUGCAAGUCGAACGGCAGCACAGGAGAGCUUGCUCUCUGGGUGGCGAGUGGCGGACGGGUGAGGAAUACAUCGGAAUCUGCCCAGUCGUGGGGGAUAACGUAGGGAAACUUACGCUAAUACCGCAUACGACCUUCGGGUGAAAGAGGGGGAUCGCAAGACCUCUCGCGAUUGGAUGAGCCGAUGUCGGAUUAGCUUGUUGGCGGGGUAAUGGCCCACCAAGGCGACGAUCCGUAGCUGGUCUGAGAGGAUGAUCAGCCACACUAGAACUGAGACACGGUCCAGACUCCUACGGGAGGCAGCAGUGGGGAAUAUUGGACAAUGGGCGCAAGCCUGAUCCAGCCAUACCGCGUGGGUGAAGAAGGCCUUCGGGUUGUAAAGCCCUUUUGUUGGGAAAGAAAUCUUUCAGGCUAAUACCCUGGGAGGAUGACGGUACCCAAAGAAUAAGCACCGGCUAACUUCGUG